GUGGAAGCAUGGAGUCUUAACCACUGGGGUGCCAGGGAAGUCCUGUAAAGUCCCUCUUUUACUUUGCUGUCUCAGCGAGAGAAAGACGGCCCCCUGCCAGGACUUGCCAGUCUGAUUGUCAUCCACUCCAACUCUUCUGUUUCUCUGAGGCCCAGUGCAGCCAGUCCACGCCUGCUUCCCCGCCACAGCCCAGCACUGAGCCCCGGGGGGCGGAGGCCUUCGUCCACUGAAGUCUUGAACCCCUCAAAGUCAUCUAAGAGAGUUGUAGUCAACUACUCCCAGGCUCCUCUUAAUGUUGAUAUUUUGACCUCUUCUGAUGAAUCAUGAAUGUUCUUCAUGGCAUCUAAAAUGCCUUCACAGAAUUGAAGAGACUUGAGCCUUGCUCUGGGGCUUCCCUGGUGUCUCAGAUGGUAAAGAAUCUGCCUGCCAGUCCAGGAGACCUGAGUUUGAUCCCUGGGUCAGGAAGACCCCCUGCAGAAGGAAAUGCUAACCACUCCACUGUUCUUGCCUGGAGAAUUCCAUGGACAGAAGAGCCUGGUGGGCUGCAGUGCAUGGGCUCACCUGAAUUAAGCUUUGGGUUAAAGGAAUGUUGUGG
ensembl:lncRNA